rnacentral:lncRNA from 1 species
AUCAUAGCUGAUUCUUCUUUUCAUAUAUUGAAAGAAUGAAAGAAAGUAGGAACAAGAUGAUUGAAGAAUCUAAAAGAUAGGUAUUUCUAUCUAUCACAUGGGUCUUUAUAAGGGUUAUGGUGUGGAAAAAAAUAUUUAAGAAUGGAGACAUUAUGUUUUAUUUAUAGAUAUUGCAAGAUGAGAAAUUUUUAUAUUUUUUAAAUAUAAAAUUAAUAAAAUAAAUAAAAAUUAGGUGAUGAAUGAGCA